rnacentral:tRNA from 1 species
GCACCCGUAGCUCAGCUGGAUAGAGCGCUGCCCUCCGAAGGCAGAGGCCAAAGGUUCGAAUCCUUUCGGGUGCA